rfam:Flavobacterium sp. LM4 Flavobacterium_sp_LM4_contig1, whole genome shotgun sequence.
AUCUAGCCCCGAUAGGAAUGAUAUCCUUUUGUGGAGGUGUUCGCCACAAAAGAUAAAAUGGAUAGCGGUACUAAAU